ensembl:snRNA
GUGUUGUAUGAAAAGAGAGAAGGUUAACACUCCCCUUGAGAAGGAUAUAAGAGGUCUUUGGGCCUGACAAGACCUGCAUGGUUAAGGCAUUGGCACCUUCUUCAUAAUAUCUAAGCACUUUUUUUA